rnacentral:sRNA from 1 species
UGAACCAUUGGAUUAAUAUCCAACGGUGGGUGACCACAAUCUCUUGGACUCCUGUGGUCCAAGAGAUCGGGACUGUAUAUAUAUAUAUAUAUAUAUAUAUAUAUAUAUAUGCCAACCUGUGAAAAUGACUACUUUAAGUAAAU